CGCAGCAGCUGCAGCUCCUCAGGUUAUCCGCAGCAGCUGCAGCUCCUCAGGUCAUCCGCAGCAGAGCUCUAUUUAAGAGGAGAGGGAACUACUACACAGCGCUGGAUGAUUAGCUACUCACGGAUUUUUGGACAAUCUUCCCUGACACUCUGGGUUUGUUGGAUCUGAUCCUCCAUCCGAGAAGCGGAACCAGUACUGCAUUACUCACCUGGAAAGAACCAUAACCUACCUGGACUUCACGGUUCGCCUCUCCUCUUAUCCUCUGCCACCCCGCCUGGCUCCCUCUCCUGGACUCACCCCUUCACUUUAUCUGCCCUCCUCGACCUCCUCCUGCAGGAUUUUGGACUCUCUCUGGCUCCAGCUAAUCUGGGUUUAUUCUAGGGACACUUUUUGUUAGAUUCCUGUAAUAAAUCAUUGUUUUGAACUUUCCACCCUUUCUUGUGAUGAUUCUUCGUGUCGUGGGUUAAACACAUUCCCAGGAACAUGACACUUGGUUGAAAAUGUCUGCUGUAAAGUAAAAAACGUUUUUAUCUUUUUUUUAGAUUAUCUGGCAUUUUACAGUUUAUUCUAAUCCUUGCUGCUUUAAGGUUAAUCUACAAGCUGUUUAGUUGUUUACAUUUAAAGUCCUUUAACUGGUCUAGAAAUUGUGUUCUGCUUCAUUUUUUUUCUCACCAGAUUGUAAAUAUCAGCAAAAAUGUAUAUGUAAAUAUGAGGUGAAUAGAUAGGAAGCGUCAACUGUUUUUAACUCGUAUUCUAUUUUAAUGUCACAUUUAUUUCUCUCAAUGACCAUGAUAAUAAUACAGUACAUUCAU